rnacentral:rRNA from 1 species
UACGUAGGGUGCGAGCGUUAAUCGGAAUUACUGGGCGUGAAGCGUGCGCAGGCGGUCUGUUAAGACCGAUGUGAAAUCCCCGGGCUUAACCUGGGAACUGCAUUGGUGACUGGCAGGCUUUGAGUGUGGCAGAGGGAGGUAGAAUUCCACGUGUAGCAGUGAAAUGCGUAGAGAUGUGGAGGAAUACCGAUGGCGAAGGCAGCCUCCUGGGCCAACACUGACGCUCAUGCACGAAAGCGUGGGGAGCAAACAGG